CUAAGUGAUCUGCCGAAGCUAUGGGAUGUAAAAAUACAUUGGUAGGGGAGCAUUCUAACUCAGAGGGAAGCACCGGCGCGAGCAGGUGUGGAUGAAGCAGAAGCGAUAAUAUCGGCUUGAGUAAUGCAAAAAUUGGUGAGAAUCCAAUGCCCCAAAAACCUAAGGGUUCCUCUGCAAGGUUCAUCCACGGAGGGUGAGUCAGGGCCUAAGAUCAAGCCGAAAGGUGUAGUCAAUGGACAACAAGUUAAUAUUCCUGUACUACCCCUUGUUGGUCCCGAGGGACGGAGGAGGAUAGGUUAGCCAAAAGAUGGUUAUCGGUUCAAGGACGCAAGGUGACCCUGCUUUUUUCAGGGUAAGAAGGGGUAGAAAAAUGCCUCGAGCCAAUGUCCGAGUACCAAGCACUACAGUACUGAAGUAACCCAUGCCAUACUCCCAGGAAAAUCUUGAACAACCUUUAACAAACGGGUACCUAUACCCAAAACCAACAUAGGUAGGUAGGUAGAGAAUACCUAGGGACGCAAGACAACUCUCUCUAAGGAACUCG
rnacentral:ncRNA from 1 species